GCAGCGUAUGUUGCCUGGCAGAGCCCUCGGCAGGGACCCCAAGUCAUUUUACAAGUGAAGAGAAUGGGCCUCUGACCAAGUGAAGACCUUUCCGAGGACACACGGGUUGUAGAGCCAUUAUUCGCAGGGGGCCCACUUUCAAUGAAGGCUGUCUACCCAAGACGGAGUUUUACCACCCAGGCUGGCCAGUGAGUAAGGGGCCGGGGUGUGGCCUGGUUUCCAAAGCUUGCCUGGGCAUGAGAUCACCUGAGGCCACACAGCACGCUCCUCCUCUGUCCUGAAGAUUCUGAAGGAGUCUGUUUGCUUCCGGCUGUGGGAACUCUGACUUAGCCUCCUAGAGGGACAAGAUUUCCAAACAGUGAGCCUGCAGUGCCUGCUGGGUCUGCUGGGCCAUUUGAGGGACUCGGGGCAUAGAUGAUGAUAUGUCCUCUGGCAGCCUGAAUACAGCAUGGAUCCCUUCUUUAUGUUAUAAAAUGAACUUCGUCUGAA